rnacentral:lncRNA from 1 species
GGACCAGGUCUCCUGACAUGGGGCUGCAGCCAGGUGGGGUUGGGCUCCUGGGAUUCCCAUGCGCGUGGACGGUGGGUCAGAUGCUGUAGCCGCCAUCUGAAGCCGACGUGUGAAACUUCAGCUUCUUAGCAAGAUGUCUUAGAGGAUAAAAAUGAGCGGGCAGAUGAAGAGAUACUCAGGGUGAGGUUUGGAAGGUGCACCAGGCCCACCCCAUGGAUGUGGCUCAGAGAGCCUGGGAAACGUGAGGUCUGUGACCUGGAUCAGGCCCAGAGAGACCUGAGCAGGAGGCGUGUGAAGCCCCUGCGCCUGUGCGAGGAGGGAAGCUGUUUCAGGGAAUUUGCCUUUCUUUCCCUGUAGUUUCAGACUAGCUGAUAAAUUACCUAAAAUGUUACCACAAGAUGCACAAUGUAACCAUCACUCAUUA